rnacentral:snRNA from 1 species
AUGGCUUCUCAGCCUAUUGGCUAAGAUCAAGUGUAGUAUUUGUUCUUAUCCGUUUAAUAAUGCCCUUAUCAAUUGUUGAUACUCACUUAUAUUGAUUUAAUUGAACUAGCUGAAUAUGUUCCCUUU